rnacentral:rRNA from 1 species
GAUGAACGCUGACAGAAUGCUUAACACAUGCAAGUCAACUUGAACUUCGGUUUGGGUGGCGGACGGGUGAGUAACGCGUAAAGAACUUGCCUCACAGCUAGGGACAACAUUUGGAAACGAAUGCUAAUACCUGAUAUUAUGUUUAUAUGGCAUCGUAUAAUUAUGAAAGCUAUAUGCGCUGUGAGAGAGCUUUGCGUCCCAUUAGCUAGUUGGAGAGGUAACAGCUCACCAAGGCGAUGAUGGGUAGCCGGCCUGAGAGGGUGAUCGGCCACAAGGGGACUGAGACACGGCCCUUACUCCUACGGGAGGCAGCAGUGGGGAAUAUUGGACAAUGGACCGAGAGUCUGAUCCAGCAAUUCUGUGUGCACGAUGAAGUUUUUCGGAAUGUAAAGUGCUUUCAGUUGGGAAGAAAAAAAUGACGGUACCAACAGAAGAAGUGACGGCUAAAUACGUG